AGACCCGAAACCCGGUGAUCUAGCCAUGGGCAGGUUGAAGGUUGGGUAACACUAACUGGAGGACCGAACCGACUAAUGUUGAAAAAUUAGCGGAUGACCUGUGGCUGGGGGUGAAAGGCCAAUCAAACCGGGAGAUAGCUGGUUCUCCCCGAAAGCUAUUUAGGUAGCGCCUCGUGAAUUCAUCUCCGGGGGUAGAGCACUGUUUCGGCUAGGGGGCCAUCCCGGCUUACCAACCCGAUGCAAACUGCGAAUACCGGAGAAUGUUAUCACGGGAGACACACGGCGGGUGCUAACGUCCGUCGUGAAGAGGGAAACAACCCAGACCGCCAGCUAAGGUCCCAAAGUCAUGGUUAAGUGGGAAACGAUGUGGGAAGGCCCAGACAGCCAGGAUGUUGGCUUAGAAGCAGCCAUCAUUUAAAGAAAGCGUAAUAGCUCACUGGUCGAGUCGGCCUGCGCGGAAGAUGUAACGGGGCUAAACCAUGCACCGAAGCUGCGGCAGCGACGUUUAUGCGUUGUUGGGUAGGGGAGCGUUCUGUAAGCCUGCGAAGGUG
rnacentral:rRNA from 2 species